rnacentral:rRNA from 1 species
CAGUGGGGGAUAACGUAGCGAAAGUUACGCUAAUACCGCAUAUUCUGUGAGCAGGAAAGCAGGGGAUCGCAAGACCUUGCGCUGAUUGAGCGGCCGAUAUCAGAUUAGCUAGUUGGUGAGGUAAAGGCUCACCAAGGCGACGAUCUGUAGCGGGUUUGAGAGGAUGAUCCGCCACACUGGAACUGAGACACGGUCCAGACUCCUACGGGAGGCAGCAGUGGGGAAUUUUGGACAAUGGGCGCAAGCCUGAUCCAGCCAUGCCGCGUGAGUGAAGAAGGCCUUCGGGUUGUAAAGCUCUUUCGGCCGGGAAGAAAUCGCAUGGGUUAAUACCCUGUGCGGAUGACGGUACCGGCAUAAGAAGCACCGGCUAACUACGUGCCAGCAGCCGCGGUAAUACGUAGGGUGCGAGCGUUAAUCGGAAUUACUGGGCGUAAAGCGUGCGCAGGCGGUUUGUUAAGAUAGGCGUGAAAUCCCCGGGCUCAACCUGGGAACUGCGCUUAUGACUGGCAAGCUAGAGUACGGCAGAGGGGGGUGGAAUUCCACGUGUAGCAGUGAAAUGCGUAGAGAUGUGGAGGAACACCAAUGGCGAAGGCAGCCCCCUGGGUCGAUACUGACGCUCAUGCACGAAAGCGUGGGUAGCAAACAGGAUUAGAUACCCUGGUAGUCCACGCCCUAAACGAUGUCAACUAGGUGUUGGAUGGGUAAAACCAUUUAGUACCGGAGCUAACGCGUGAAGUUGACCGCCUGGGGAGUACGGCCGCAAGGUUAAAACUCAAAGGAAUUGACGGGGACCCGCACAAGCGGUGGAUGAUGUGGAUUAAUUCGAUGCAACGCCGGAAAUCUUACCGGGACCGACAGCAAUAUGAAGGCCAGGCUGAAGACUUUGCCGGAUUAGCUGAGAGGUGGUGCAUGGCCGUCGUCAGUUCGUACUGUGAAGCAUCCUGUUAAGUCAGGCAACGAGCGAGACCCACGCCCACAGUUGCCAGCGUACUCUCCGGAGUGACGGGUACACUGUGGGGACCGCCGCUGCUAAAGCGGAGGAAGGAAUGGGCAACGGUAGGUCAGUAUGCCCCGAAUAUCCCGGGCUACACGCGAGCUACAAUGGUUGGUACAAUGGGUAUCUACCCCGAAAGGGGAUGGAAAUCUCCUAAAGCCAAUCUUAGUCCGGAUUGAGGGCUGCAACUCGCCCUCAUGAAGCUGGAAUCCGUAGUAAUCGCGUUUCAACAGAACGCGGUGAAUACGUCCCUGCUCCUUGCACACACCGCCCGUCAAACCACCCGAGUAGGGUCUGAAUGAGAGCGCUUCCUUCGGAGGCGUUCGAAUUUGGGCUUUGCAAGGGGGGUUAAGUCGUAACAAGGUA